CUAUACAUGCAGUCGAGCGGACAGAUGGGAGCUUGCUCCCUGAAGUCAGCGGCGGACGGGUGAGUAACACGUGGGCAACCUGCCUGUAAGACUGGGAUAACUCCGGGAAACCGGGGCUAAUACCGGAUAAUUCUUUCCCUCACAUGAGGGAAAGCUGAAAGAUGGUUUCGGCUAUCACUUACAGAUGGGCCCGCGGCGCAUUAGCUAGUUGGUGAGGUAACGGCUCACCAAGGCAACGAUGCGUAGCCGACCUGAGAGGGUGAUCGGCCACACUGGGACUGAGACACGGCCCAGACUCCUACGGGAGGCAGCAGUAGGGAAUCUUCCGCAAUGGACGAAAGUCUGACGGAGCAACGCCGCGUGAGUGAUGAAGGUUUUCGGAUCGUAAAACUCUGUUGUUAGGGAAGAACAAGUACCGGAGUAACUGCCGGUACCUUGACGGUACCUAACCAGAAAGCCACGGCUAACUACGUGCCAGCAGCCGCGGUAAUACGUAGGUGGCAAGCGUUGUCCGGAAUUAUUGGGCGUAAAGCGCGCGCAGGCGGUUCCUUAAGUCUGAUGUGAAAGCCCCCGGCUCAACCGGGGAGGGUCAUUGGAAACUGGGGAACUUGAGUGCAGAAGAGAAGAGUGGAAUUCCACGUGUAGCGGUGAAAUGCGUAGAGAUGUGGAGGAACACCAGUGGCGAAGGCGACUCUUUGGUCUGUAACUGACGCUGAGGCGCGAAAGCGUGGGGAGCAAACAGGAUUAGAUACCCUGGUAGUCCACGCCGUAAACGAUGAGUGCUAAGUGUUAGAGGGUUUCCGCCCUUUAGUGCUGCAGCAAACGCAUUAAGCACUCCGCCUGGGGAGUACGGCCGCNAGGCUGAAACUCAAAGGAAUUGACGGGGGCCCGCACAAGCGGUGGAGCAUGUGGUUUAAUUCGAAGCNACGCGAAGAACCUUACCAGGUCUUGACAUCUCCUGACACCCU
rnacentral:rRNA from 1 species